AGCUGGGAUAUUAGGUGCUAGAGACAAUGCUGAUCCCUUACUGGCUAUUGCUCCAUCUCCUCUCCCUGCAGCGCGCCUGGCCCCCGGUUCAGUCACUAACACUGUCACUCUUUCUCUAGGAGGGGUCUUUCAUGUGGACGGAUGGUUCCGAAUACAAUUUCCGGACAUUUCCUGCAGGCCAGCCCGAUGGCCUCCCGGGAGAAAACUACCUGGGCUCUUGGAUCCUGCAAAAUGGCUUUGUAACCUGGAACGACUAUGACGCCAUCUGGUCCUUCCCGUUUGUUUGCAAAUACACCCUCCGGAACAGCUGCAGGGACCCCUGCGUAUAACAGGACAUGGUGAAAGACGUGGCCUGUAUCCUGCAGCGGAGGCUGUGUCACCUUCGUGUGCUGUAACUUCACAUCUGGAACCAUUUUCUGCUGUGUCCUUAUCCUGUCUUAUGUGUUCUGGGUAGAACCGGGCAACUAGCAGGUUUUGGGGUUUGCUGGGUAUUCUGAAUAAUUUGGGGGGCAGGGGAUUCAUUUUAGGACAAACUGAAACUUUAUUUUAAAAAAUAUUCUGCAAAUGGAGAAGUGGUGGUGAUGGGAAAAUCAUUUUGAGUCCAAUGAACAUUUUGUUUUGAUUGUUACCAUUUUAAAACUCUGUUUGCUUUUAAUCAAACUAAAGGCCAUUUCAAAAGGGAAAGUAGUUUCAGACCAAAGACGCCAAACGUUUCGAUUUGUUCUGGGUUGGUUUUGGUUUUUAGUUUUGACCAAUACACUUUAGUGAAGCCAAAACAAUCACCAAAUGGUUCAGUUUCACCAAACCUGCAUAUUUCACCAGAAAAGGGGCUGAUCUGAAAAGUGUCACCCGACUGUAUUCCCCCUCGGUCCCUGCUGGCGGGCUCCUGCUGGGAGCCACUUUCCAAUGGGACCCCGCAGCAGGCCGAAGGCCGGGGGAACAAAGGUCGCAGUCUCUUUGGACGCCAGACCACCCAGCUGUACGCUGCGCUCUCGCUGGCACAGCAUCACUCAGCGAUUCUGCUCAUGCAAAUCUGCUUAGAGAGCUCCCUGCUCUGAUCUCUGCUUGUCUUUCUCCCUCCUGCUUUAUACAUGUACCUGGGCAUUCCUACUAA